rnacentral:ribozyme from 1 species
GUAAUGAUGAAGAGGAAAAGAAAAAAGAUUUGCGCGAACACAAAGGGUUAUUAUUUAUUACAUUAUAUUUUAUUUUGUUUAAGCUUUCCCUACUAUUACUUGUUGUUAUUGCUGCAUUUUAGCAAAGA